rnacentral:rRNA from 1 species
UUGGUACAUGGCCCGUACCCCAAACCGACACAGGUGGUCAGGUAGAGAAUACUAAGGCGAUCGAGAGAACUGUGGUUAAGGAACUCGGCAAAAUGCCCCCGUAACUUCGGGAGAAGGGGGACCAGUCCUGGUGACGACAUUUACUGUCUGAGCUGGGGUUGGUCGCAGAGACCAGAGAGAAGCGACUGUUUACUAAAAACACAGGUCCGUGCGAAGUCGUAAGACGAUGUAUACGGACUGACGCCUGCCCGGUGCUGGAAGGUUAAGAGGACCGGUCAGCCACUUCGGUGGCGAAGCUGAGAAUUUAAGCCCCAGUAAACGGCGGUGGUAACUAUAACCAUCCUAAGGUAGCGAAAUUCCUUGUCGGGUAAGUUCCGACCUGCACGAAUGGCGUAACGACUUCUCUGCUGUCUCAACCACAGACUCGGCGAAAUUGCAGUACGAGUAAAGAUGCUCGUUACGCGCGGCAGGACGAAAAGACCCCGGGACCUUCACUAUAGCUUGGUAUUGGUGUUCGGUUGGGUUUGUGUAGGAUAGGUGGGAGACUGUGAAACUCGCACGCCAGUGUGGGUGGAGUCAUUGUUGAAAUACCACUCUGACCGUAUUGGACAUCUAACCUCGGACCAUGAUCUGGUUCAGGGACAGUGCCUGGUGGGUAGUUUAACUGGGGCGGUUGCCUCCCAAAAAGUAACGGAGGCGCCCAAAGGUUCCCUCAGCCUGGUUGGCAAUCAGGUGUUGAGUGUAAGUGCACAAGGGAGCUUGACUGUGAGACGUACAUGUCGAGCAGGGACGAAAGUCGGGACUAGUGAUCCGGCACCGGCAAGUGGAAGCGGUGUCGCUCAACGGAUAAAAGGUACCCCGGGGAUAACAGGCUGCUCUUCCCCAAGAGUCCAUAUCGACGGGAUGGUUUGGCACCUCGAUGUCGGCUCGUCGCAUCCUGGGGCUGGAGUAGGUCCCAAGGGUUGGGCUGUUCGCCCAUUAAAGCGGCACGCGAGCUGGGUUUAGAACGUCGUGAGACAGUUCGGUCUCUAUCCGCCGCGCGCGUAAGAGACUUGAGGAAACCUGUCCCUAGUACGAGAGGACCGGGACGGACGAACCUCUGGUGUGCCAGUUGUUCCACCAGGAGCACCGCUGGUUAGCUACGUUCGGAAGGGAUAACCGCUGAAAGCAUCUAAGCGGGAAGCCUGUUCCAAGAUGAGGUUUCUCACCACCUAGCGUGGUUAAGGCCCCCCACAGACCAUGGGGUUGAUAGGCCAGAACUGUAAGCACAGCAAUGUGUUCAGGUGACUGGUACUAAUCGGCCGAGGACUU